AUUGAACGCUGGCGGCAGGCUUAACACAUGCAAGUCGAACGAGUGGCGGACGGGUGAGUAAUGUCUGGGAAACUGCCUGAUGGAGGGGGAUAACUACUGGAAACGGUAGCUAAUACCGCAUACCAUCAGAUGUGCCCAGAUGGGAUUAGCUUGUUGGUGGGGUAAUGGCUCACCAAGGCGACGAUCCCUAGCUGGUCUGAGAGGAUGACCAGCCACACUGGAACUGAGACACGGUCCAGCCUCCUACGGGAGGCAGCAGUGGGGAAUAUUGCACAAUGGGCGCAAGCCUGGUGCAGCCAGGCCGCGUGUAUGAAGAAGGCCUUCGGGUUGUAAAGCAGUUGCAGCGGGGAGACGUUACCCGCAGAAGAAGCACCGGCUAACUCCGUGCCAGCGGCCGCGGUAAUAC
rnacentral:rRNA from 1 species